rnacentral:lncRNA from 1 species
UUGGUCACAAUUUCAACCGAGAAGGAAAUGGAGGAGAGCCAUAUUUAAUAAAGGGGAAAUGAAGGCAACUGGAAUACCAGAGGAAUGUUCAAAGCCUUUCCCACACUCUUGUCCAGUGUUGACUUCUUGGGAUGAGUUGGCAAUCAAUGGGCAGGAAGGAAUUGGAGAGCUGCUUCAGGAUGCCUUCCUCAGGUGGAGAAAUAACAAGGGGAUAGCAAUGGAAAAAAAUGUUUGGAUGAAAGAAACACCCAUAAAAACUGUGACUCCUCCAUCUGAAGACUGCUUUCAUAUCUGUGACUCAGAAGGGAAUUGUGGCUCUUAUAAUGCAAUGACUAUGAGAUCAGAGUGAUUAAGGUAGAGUCUGUAAGGGCAUGGAGGCUGCGAUGAAGGCUACCCAAGGAAUGAAGCCAGCAUAGUCUGCGGGGCAAAUGGUGGAGAUGGGACAGGGCAGUUUCAUCCAGCUCAAGAAGAGACAGAGGUGGGAACAGCUUGUGUUGUGGGUUAAUGGUGUCACACAGUGAUCAGUUUAACUUGUGUGCUGGUAGGUGUCAGGAUGAUGGAAAGGUAUUUAGUGUGAAGCAUGGAUUCUCUUUACAUCACCAGUCAUAGAAAGUGUGUGUUCAGAGCCAGGGAUGGAUGCACAUUCCUCUAGGAGGGGUAUAGGUGGACUAUAAGGUUACUAAUCAAUUGCUUAUCAUGGAAACACAGCAUAGUAUGUAAUGGCUACCUAUGGAACAGGGUAUCAGGAGUAGGUAAUGGAAAAUAAUGGAAAAGGGCACUUACAUGAGACUUAUUACAUAUUUAGAACAUGUGGACUUCUGCAACUAUGUAAAUAUGGUUGGAAGAAUAAGCAGCAGCGUUGGUGUAGGUUCCUGUUCUGUGGAAUACAUAGCAAACUGACAGAAGAAAGUGGGUAAGUGUGGUUCUGGAGAGAUGCUCCUGAGGGAGGGGCCAGUGUGAGAGGGUGAAUUUGGGGCAUAGUUAAUUUGAGAUGUCAGAAUAAUUGCAGACAGAUAUAGAAGAGGAUGUGGGAAAGAGCAGAACCAGAUUGAGGAAGUGUCUAACAGACAGACAUCUAAAAGUGCCAUAUAGACAUGCAGGCAGGAGGUGAAUGCCAACAGAGGAACAGCAGGAGGCUUGUUAGAGAGGCAAUGGAAGCUGGCUAAGCGAUAAGAAAAAAUAAAUGCAGAGGGGAGUGAAUGGGACCUUAUUCC